AGACUGUCCAGUUUGGUCGAUGUACAUAGCAGAGGGGCAUUGCUGGCACAUGAUGAUGUACAUAACAUUGGUGGCUGUGCAGCCACUGCUUUACCAAGAGAGCUGAGAAGGGAAAAGGAACUGCUUUACCAGGAAAAGACAUUAACACACAAGGUGACACCAACCCAUUUUGGUUGCUGAAGGAUGCCUUUCCUGAGACACCAUGGAAUUUCUUUGCCCUGUAAUACUUAAAUGAGGUCUUUGCUGCGCAAAAUUUAAGUACUAAUUCACAUCGUGACUAGAAAAGGUUGAAAAUUGUCAGCAUUCAAACAAGAAAAAUUAAUGAAGUACUUCUAAUUUCUGACUGAAACCCUUCAGCCAGCAUACGAAGUGCAGAAAAAAUUGGAAUUCUGUUCUUAAACAGACAACGUUCUCUAACACAGAUCACAGGCAACAAUGUCUGAAGAACUUUGUCACAAAAGCAUAUAUGGGGAGAUUCUAGGAAAAACAAAUAAAUCUUUUCAUUUCCAUUUUGCCAGAGAGUGGGAAACACUUGUAAAGCUUUUCCAAAGUUUUCAUACAGAACUCUCAAAGAAGUAGAAAGCAGUGGUCACUUGUAAUAGGUCCCCUAAGUCUUUUAAGAGUGAUCACCAUUCUGGAAAGUAAUUGUGCUGUUUGACCUCCAUAGCAAAAGUGUGGCCUUACUGAUGAAUGUAGACACUAUAUUUUUAUCUUUUCCAUCUUUGUGGCUCCUAAUGAAGAAAAGGCCAAACUGGACAGCAAAUUAAAUGCAUACAUAAUAAUGCCUUUUCCAGACAAUGGCGACAUUGCUCCAUUUGAAUUUUGGAAAAUCCAUUGAACUGACUUCCCAACUUUGAGUUAUGCUGCUUUCCCCGCCCUCGAUGUCUCAUCUGAUGAGGAUCGAAUAUUUCUACAUGCAAGACUGCAGGAGAAUGAGUCUUGAGUGGAAAAAAGAGACACUGAAAAAAUUGUUGAGAGUCUACACUACCCAGGACUUUUGGAUUUACAUUGAAGCCCCUUAUAUCCAGGGUAAUAGCAGAAAACUGUUAAUAAACUGUUGUUAAAAGAAAAUUAAAAAGAAAUAAACCACAGCAUUAUAUUUCUGUUA